AACAAAGAAAAAGUCCUGAAUAAAGCAUUGCAGAGAAGAACCUGGUCCUGUUGCGUCUUUCCUUGCUGGCAGGAUUGGGCGCAAGAACUGGUGGUCCUUACCGGGACUUCUUUUGGUUCAGAACUCUCAACGCCAGGAGAGGUACCGGGUGCUGAAGGAACAUGCUAGCUGCCAAAGUAUGCUAAUGGUGAGACAAAGAAUGAUGCUGAUUAUAAUCAUUGAAAAUGGCCACAGUCCUCAACACUUUUGGAUGCCUCCUAAUAAUGCUGACAUCACGGACAUCUACGGACUCAAUAUCCUUCUUUGCAUGGCAAAUUUAUUUAGCUAAAAAUUGGACAAAUUAUAAACAGAUUAAAGGGAUAUAUUGGUUACUACUGAUUGCCCCCCUUUAGGGUGUCAAAAGGCCAUAUAUUUAAAUUUUACAGAUUUCAAGUGUAGACCAGAUAGAGUGUGGCCUGCCAUUUAUUUUCUUUAAGAUAUCCACAGGAUUUACUUUGGUUGUUUGGGACCUUUGGGGGAGCCUCUGGACUUCUCCUGUGGGGUUACAUCUAAGUAAAACACAAUGUUACAUCCUCAGCUAGUUUUCUAACAGAUGAUGAGUCAUCAAGACCUCUAAUUCUUCUACAAAGGGAUGGUACACACCUUUACAAAUUAGGUUUACCACUCAUGCAAAAUCUCCCAAUCCACAUUGACAAAUAGGCUAUGAAUGGGGUCUUCGCCUCUAUGUGCUUGGCUUUGAUGCAGGUAUUAUUUUCUCCAUUAAGCUCCUUAAAGAGCCGUUAUAUCAUGCCCAGCCAGUCCCAAUGGGACCUAAUUCUGUGUUGGUACCUCAUCCUAUUCCUCCUAAAGGAAUGAUGCCACCUGUACUCCUUCUAUUAAAGACACUUCCCUACCUACUGUAUUUCCCCUCCAGUCACCAGCUAAGCCAUCAGCCACUACACUGCCUGUACUGCCAGCUCCCACUAAAAAUCUUGUACUUUCUUUAGUUAAUCAGACAUUUCUCAUUUUAAAUAAAACUUCCCCUAAACUUGUUGAAGAUUGCUGGCUGUGCUACCAUUCCCAGCCACCCUUUUAUGAAGGAAUUGCUGUUCUCAGUGCGCCCCCCCCCACUCCAUCCCCUGUACUUUCUGGGUGUUCCUUUUGCCCAGAAGUCUGGGGGCGGUGCGCAUGGAGCUCUCUUUGGCUUAUCCAAUACUCCAGGAUCUGUAGGGCCAGAGGGCUUAUGAAGCCCUAGAUUUUAAAUUUAUUAAAUCUUUAGCUGAAUCGGUCAGAAACUUUGGGACCUCCGCUCCCUUUAUGGUGGUUCAGGAUAAUGAUAGGUGUUGAAGCCACUUUGCAUGCAGAGUUCUUGUCAAUACAAAAUGAAAACAUACGUAUAUAAACAUUAUAAAUGAUAUUAUUAACAUUUAUGAAGACUAUUAUUAUCCUAAUGACGACAUGGUGACACACAACCACCUGUGAUGAGAUCGAACGCCCUCUUCUGGUAUGUCUGAAGACAACUACAAUAUACUUAUUUAUAAUUUAAUCUUUAAAACGGUGCCUGGACAGGACCCUUUGGGACAAGGCACAUAAAGUUUGUAUCCCAAAGAGGGUAUAUAGAAACAUUCAGGGUAUAUAGAAAGCACAUUUAUUAUUUAUAUCAUCAAAAAUAAUGGCUUAAAAAUAAUUUUAUAUUUUUAUAUACAUAAAAUUAUAAAAAUUUAUUCUUGAUGUCCUAAAUUUCUACUUCUACCACAUAAUGAUGUUGAUUCUAGAGGACUUAAUUAACUUUUACAGAUAAUUGAUACUCAUAUUUCUAAUUUAAAAAAUCAAAAUAUGGGCAUAUAACUAUGAUUUAUUUUGGGGCAUUCUAGUUACAGCCACUCUAGCAAAGGGCAACUGAGAAUUCUAUGUUUAUUUUCUAUAGUUACUUAGUUAUUGCAUAUAUUAUGAUAUAUACUUGGUGUUCCAACUUAGAUUGGGACAAACAAUAAAACUGGCUAUUUAAUGAAUAAAGACUAUUCAUUUGACAUAUCUUUAACAAUUUGAUUCUCAAAGAUGAGGUGAUAUUAAACAUUUUUACAAAACAAAACAAUAUCUUCUUAAAAAAGAAAAACAGAGGGGAAAUGAUAUCCCUGUGCAUAUAAUUUAAAUUAUAGAUAUAUAUUUUUAACGCAUAUAUAUAUUUAAGAAAAUUUUAAAAUUUAGAUGCCAAGAAAAGCCUUGCUAAAUAUAUAUGGGUUCCUAUCACUAGGCAUGCCAAUGCCUAGAUGAGAUGGAAGAAUUCACUUAUUGGCAUUGCUGUUGUCCUCAAGAUAAAUUAAUAAUGUUUCUUAGAUAUGCCUGAGGUUGUAUUUCCUAAUAUGAUCUUUAUAGCCUCUACAUAAAAAUACUCUUGAUUUUCAUAGAUGGCUCUCUGAAAGAAGAGCUAGAUAUCUUAUUUAUAAUCAACAGGUGGCUAUAAAAACACCUGGGCUCAGCUCAGUUAGCAGAGCUGACAAUGAUAUUAAAUAUUUUUCAACUUAUACAUUAUACUUUUAAUCCUUUUACAAUUUGCUUGUAUGUUGAAAAUUUUGUGCUUUAUUGGAAACCAAUGGCAUGUUUAAUUUUGAUACACCAUGAUGCCAAAUUGUUUUCUCGUCUUUUUAGUGUUAACAAAACUUUUGAUAUUUCCUAUUUACCUUUAGAUAAAGAAAUAGCUGGAAUAGGUCAAAAUAGAAAUAUGACCUUGCCUGGUAGUCUAUGCUUUGCAUUUGGAGAUAAUAUGUUACCUGAUGGCUCAUGCCCUAAAUAAUCUCUCAUCUAGCAUUGCUCAUGCAAUUGAUGUGCAAUCGAGCCUUAAUGGUCAACUGAAAGGAGGCUUAAUGGUUAUAAACCAAAGAAUUGAUUUAGUAAAGAACAAAUUGAGACCUUUUGGCAGCUACCCCAAUUGGAAUGUCAGUGGAAGUAUUCUAGUUUAUGUAUUACCAGCAUUCAGUAUGAGAAUUUUACAAGAGCUACGAAUUUGUCUAAACAAAUGUCUAAGUAUCUUUUAGGAAAUUGGACUAGUGAAUUUGAUGCCCCGAUGGACCAACUCCGUAUGGCUAUCGUGGCCGUGAAUUCCACUUGAUUGGAUGUGUCUUUGGCUGAAGGACCGUCAUCAUGGAUCUCCAACGCCUUUUCUUGGAUCAAAGAGUGGGCUGGCAUGUUAGCAAUAGUCGCCCUUAUGUGCUUAGCAGCUUUCAUCUGCCUUUGGUGCUUCUGCCCCAUCAGACAAGAUCAUGCAGCUCAUAGAGCAAUAGUUUAUCAGGAUCUCAUAGCCAUAGACACCCAAGAAGACAUCUCUAUUUAGCUGACCUCCCUAAAAUCUUAGAAGCUUUCGCUCCAGGGUACACGGAACAUACAAUACUGUUUUAAACCCAAUGAUACACAAAGACGGGCAACUUCUCAGUGCUUGGAUCAACCUAAGAUAUGGGGCCUGGUGAGUGAUAGGGUAACCCUUUGACGGGUAAGACCAAGUCGUGGCAGAGAUGACCUAAGACAGGGGUCAUUGGUAAACAGAAUGCCAGUGACCUGAUUAGCCCUGACCUGGGACGGCUUCUAUAAAACAAAAAAGGGAGAAAUGUAGUAAGCCACCUUUGUUCAUUCGCCAUUACAAGAUGGUGCUGGCCAGAUGCAGCUCUCUGGUGGUAAACAACUUUAGUACAUGUGCAAUGUGCUGUGUAUGUUAUCACACUUAUAUGCUAAUGAAGAAUUCACUUAGUUCACCUAUCAGGAAGCGGUGCACUAUCUAUCUUCUGCAGACGAGGCGAAUAGCUAUAUAAGGGCAGCUGGGAGAGGGCUCGGGGCCCCAGUAAGAAGAACAAAGAAAAAGUCCUGAAUAAAUCGUUGCAGAGAAAAACCUGGUCCUGUUGCGUCUUUCCUUGCUGGCAGGGUUGGGCGCAAGAGUGGGGACCAACUGGAGAUUUUUGCACUCAGGGAUUGUACUGGCUGGCUUUGUGUAUCAACUUGUCAGAAGCUGGAGUUACCACAGAGAAAGGAGACUCCCUUGAGGAAAUGCCUCCAUGUGAUCAGGUGUAAGGCAUUUUCACAUUUGGUGAUCAAGGGUGGUAGUGCCAUUGUGGAUGGUGCCAUCCCUGACCUGGUAGUCUUGGGUUCUAUAAGAAAGCAAGAUGAGAAAGCCAGGGUCUGCAAGCCUGUAAAUAAUAUCCACCCAUGGCUUCUGCAUCAGCUUCUGCUUCCUGACCUGCCUGAGUUUCUGCCCUGACAUUGUUUAGUUAUCAACAGUAAUGUGGAAGUAUAAA